rnacentral:rRNA from 1 species
GGAGAUAAGGGGCUUGCUCCUUAUUUUAGUGGCGCACGGGUGAGUAACGCGUGGAUAAUCUACCUUGGAAUGUGGGAUAACAUUUCGAAAGGGGUGCUAAUACCGGAUAAGACCACGAUCUCUUUGGAGAUUGCGGUAAAAGGGGGCCUCUGUAUAUGCUUCUGUUUCAAGAUGAGUCCGCGUACCAUUAGCUAGUUGGCAGGGUAAUGGCCUACCAAGGCGACGAUGGUUAGCUGGUCUGAGAGGAUGAUCAGCCACACUGGAACUGAGACACGGUCCAGACUCCUACGGGAGGCAGCAGUGGGGAAUUUUGCGCAAUG